ACUCAAAUGAAUAGACGGGGGCCCGCACAAGCGGUGGAGUAUGUGGCUUAAUUCGAUGCAACGCGAAGAACCUUACCUGGGCUUGACAUGCAUCGCUAAGGCGGUCAAAGCCGCCGAGAGUAGCAAUACUCACUUUGCACAGGUGCUGCAUGGCUGUCGUCAGCUCGUGUCGUGAGAUGUUGGGUUAAGUCCCGCAACGAGCGCAACCCUCAUACGCUGUUACCGGUGUAAAAACCGGCCCUCUGCGUAGACUGCCCCGUGAAACGGGGAGGAAGGCGAGGAUGACGUCAAGUCAGCAUGGCCCUUACGCCCAGGGCUGCACACGUACUACAAUGCCCAGCACAAAGCGAGCCGGCACUGCGAAGUGUCGGAAAUCGGGAAAGCUGGGUUCAGUUCGGAUUGCAGGCUGCAACUCGCCUGCAUGAAGCUGGAAUCGCUAGUAAUGCCGUAUCAGCUACGACGGCGUGAAUACGUUCCCGGGCCUUGUACACACCGCCCGU
rnacentral:rRNA from 1 species